CGAGGGUGCUAGCAAGGGCCUGAGUCCCGCCCGGCCUUGGGUCGGGGAAGGCCGCCUUGGGAGCAGCGGCAUCCAAUCUGGGAGCCGAAGAAUUCUGCCUCUGCCUGGCAGUGUGACUUCAGCCAAGUCACUGAACCUCCCUGGGCCUCCCUUUUCUCAUUGGCAAAAGGGAGAUAACAGUACCCGCUUCGCGAGGCUGGGGUGUAGAUAAAUGAGCCAGGCAGCUCACAGAAGUAACCGGCGUAGUGCUUGCUGUGGCCCAGGACCGCGGGAGGCCUCUCUGCGCUUCACUCUGCCGGGCUCCGGCACUGAGGGGCCCGCCAAGCAAGAGAACUUCAUCCUAGGCAGCUGUGGGAUGUGAACCUGAAGAUGCCCCGGAACAACCAGCUGCUGCACUUCGCCUUCCGGGAGGACAAGCAGUGGAAGCUGCAGCAGAUCCAGGAUGCCAGAAACCAUGUGAGCCAAGCCAUUUACCUGCUUACCAGCCGGGACCAGAGCUACCAGUUCAAGACGGGCGCUGAGGUCCUCAAGCUGAUGGACGCAGUGAUGCUGCAGCUGACCAGAGCCCGAAACCGGCUCACCACCCCCGCCACCCUCACCCUCCCCGAGAUCGCCGCCAGCGGCCUCACGCGGAUGUUCGCCCCUGCCCUGCCAUCCGACCUGCUGGUCAACGUCUACAUCAACCUCAACAAGCUCUGCCUCACGGUGUACCAGCUGCAUGCCCUGCAGCCCAACUCCACCAAGAACUUCCGCCCAGCUGGGGGCGCGGUGCUGCAUAGCCCCGGGGCCAUGUUCGAGUGGGGCUCUCAGCGCCUGGAGGUGAGCCACGUGCACAAAGUGGAGUGCGUGAUCCCCUGGCUCAACGACGCCCUGGUCUACUUCACCGUCUCCCU
rnacentral:sRNA from 1 species